AACAAUACUAACAGAAAGCAGAGAGAAAGCCUAGUCCAACAACUGGACCCAACCCUAUAAUUUCUACUUUAUCGGUUGUUGAUUUCAGGAGUUGGACCGAAAAUCUUCUCCAAAUGCCACGUGAACUUUCAAAAAUAUUUUCUAAGUGUUGUCUUCUAAACUACCGCCUCCUCCAUAUGUUUCUCUGGAUGAUCUUCCUGCUAGGAUCUGAUGAUGGUUGUAGCAUUAACCUCUUCAUCAAGCCUUCACCAUUCCAAAGAUGUUGGGGUGAAUCCAUUUCUAAAUGGAACUAGAAAAGGGUGUCGUUUGAAGUAUGUCAAUCCCUAUGUAAGUCUCCUUCCAAGGUCCCGAUCUCGGACAAUGACUUACUUCCAAUUCUUUUCAUCCGAGGCGAGAUAAAAGAGACUGAGAGGUAGUUGUUCAUCGCCGGUGACCCCUUGGUUCUUUUUUGUUAUACUUUGUUCUAUUCGAGUGACAAAGAUAUUGCGACUUGCAUUUACUUCCAUUUCUAUUAAUUUAGAGGAUUGUACAUGUGACAACCAGUCAUUUGGGAGUGUUUUAGUUGACUAAACCUUCUGCUUUUAUUAUUAUUUA